CUCAUGCAGUGAGCAAUAGAGAACAUAGCAGAAUUUAGUACAGUGACUUGACUUAAUUUGAUUUUAAGGGGACAGACAAACUCGAAAUCAUCUGGCUGCUUGAUUUGAGGAAGAAGCAGGAAAAGAAACUACCAAAUGCACUGCUGCGAUCCUACAUGUGGAAAUGUUUUGAAGGCUUAUUUUGUUAUUAUAUAUCACACACACACAUAUCUAUAUAUAUGUAUAUAUUUUUAGAGUGCAGCUCUUAAAUGCCCGAUCAUGCAGCGAGCUAGUAAUCGAGCGAACUAGCACAGCGAAAGAUGAGAGUGAGUGCGGCACACAGCGCGGGAUAGAAAAGCAGCAAGAGCGAAGAGGUGUGAAGAGGAAAGUGGAGGGGAGGGUUUAUGAGAACCAUGAAACAGGGAGCCGAGGAGGCUGUGGAAAAAGGGUGAGGAAAAGAGUAGAGUGCCAGUGGUGACCAGGCAUGCGGCGAGUGCGGAAACUGUUGGCAUGGGCUUCGGACCCACAACGCACGUUCUACUUGCACCUGCAGCGCAGCUGCUGCUAGAGAGUGUGCUCCGUGCAAGCCACGGAUUCCCGUGUUCAUGCUUUCUUUCUGAACAAUGAGUGACACAACCGGUGGAAAUGCUUCGUAUAUAUUGCUGCUGCUAAAUGAGCUGCCCGAGCAGAGGCUCAGUGCUGCUGCUGAGAGCACCCUGUCAUUCAGAAUCAAAUUCUUUGCCACAAUAUAUCGUGGAUUCAAAACACCUAGACAGAUGUGCUCAAAAUUCACGUGAGGGUGUAUCGUAAUCGUCGGUGAUUUCCUUUUUUUUUCUUUUAUGCUCUCAACCUUUUUAAACUAUAAAACUGGAGUUGAUGGGUGGUAUUAUAAGGUAAUAAGGACUUAUUGGCUCUAGGCUGAUAUAUCCAACAUGCCCAGUCAAAAAUGGUUAAAAGAAGCAUUGCCAAAUUUUGUCUAAGCAAUGCCAUAAAAAAGUGGUGCAACCAUAAGGUCUCUACAAGCCUAAAGAAAGUCUUAACGGUCAUCUGCAGCAGGGUACCUGAAUACUUUGGAGGUGUCGGUAGGGGAGUCUUUCCUCAGAAGGCCUCGUACAGAAAGUACAGUAAAUGAAGAGUUGUCAAAUAAAUUGUUAAAAGACUGCAGUUGUGCCCUACGUACUUAUAGGACAGCACACUGUCUUAAAGGGACAUUACAGGCAAAUAUUAAGUCAAGCUAAAGUGAUAGAUUAGUGCUUGAGAAUCUCUAAGGUGUCAUUAUUAUAGCGAACAGAGCCUUAAUAAUGAAGAAAUUGAGGUAAAUGCACAACAGAGACUCCCCCGGCACAUUCAAGUACUUGCCCGAUGACAAAAGCACUCCUCAGUUCAAUUCUGUCACCAGCACCCAACCACUCAUUGCACAAAACAUCCUUGUAUUGUAUUAUAAUACGAAAUAAAAUGCUACUUGUCCAGUUCUAU
rnacentral:lncRNA from 1 species